GAUGAAGAACGUAGCGAAAUGCGAUAAUUAAUGUGAAUUGCAGAAUUCCGUGAAUCAUCGAGUCUUUGAACGCGCAUUGCGCCUCAUGGCUUUCCGUGAGGCAUGCCCAUCUCAGCGUUAGAAAAUAUUCUCAAAUUUUAGUUUUGUGCUAAAAUUUGGAUCAUGUCAAAGAAGCUAUUACUAUUAUUGUGAUCGCUCUUUGGAAAUUGAUAGGUCUUUGAGUUGCUACUCAUAGAACGUGAUGAAUCUUUCUUCGUUCUAUUGUGAUUCACUCUGGUAGUCCUAAAACUUGUAUGCCUGUGGCAUAUCUUGUAAUUUGACGUGAGAUUGGGUAGGGAUACCCGCUGAACUUAAGCAUAUCAAUAAGCGGAGGA
rnacentral:misc_RNA from 1 species